UUGCUGGGUGGAUUAGUGGCGAACGGGUGAGUAACACGUGAGUAACCUGCCCCUGACUCUGGGAUAAGCGUUGGAAACGACGUCUAAUACUGGAUAUGAUCACUGGCCGCAUGGUCUGGUGGUGGAAAGAUUUUUUGGUUGGGGAUGGACUCGCGGCCUAUCAGCUUGUUGGUGAGGUAAUGGCUCACCAAGGCGACGACGGGUAGCCGGCCUGAGAGGGUGACCGGCCACACUGGGACUGAGACACGGCCCAGACUCCUACGGGAGGCAGCAGUGGGGAAUAUUGCACAAUGGGCGAAAGCCUGAUGCAGCAACGCCGCGUGAGGGAUGACGGCCUUCGGGUUGUAAACCUCUUUUAGUAGGGAAGAAGCGAAAGUGACGGUACCUGCAGAAAAAGCACCGGCUAACUACGUGCCAGCAGCCGCGGUAAUACGUAGGGUGCAAGCGUUGUCCGGAAUUAUUGGGCGUAAAGAGCUCGUAGGCGGUUUGUCGCGUCUGCUGUGAAAUCCCGAGGCUCAACCUCGGGCUUGCAGUGGGUACGGGCAGACUAGAGUGCGGUAGGGGAGAUUGGAAUUCCUGGUGUAGCGGUGGAAUGCGCAGAUAUCAGGAGGAACACCGAUGGCGAAGGCAGAUCUCUGGGCCGUAACUGACGCUGAGGAGCGAAAGCAUGGGGAGCGAACAGGAUUAGAUACCCUGGUAGUCCAUGCCGUAACGUUGGGCGCUAGAUGUAGGGACCUUUCCACGGUUUCUGUGUCGUAGCUAACGCAUUAAGCGCCCCGCCUGGGGAGUACGGCGCAAGGCUAAAACUCAAAGGAUGACGGGGCCGCACAGCGCGAGCAUGCGGAUUAU
rnacentral:rRNA from 1 species